UACAGAGGGUGCGAGCGUAAUCGGAAUUACUGGGCGUAAAGCGCGCGUAGGCGGCUUUGCAAGUCGGGUGUGAAAUCCCCAAGCUUAACUUGGGAACUGCAUUCGAGACUGCAUUGCUAGAGUAUGGGAGAGGGAAGUGGAAUUUCCGGUGUAGCGGUGAAAUGCGCAGAUAUCGGGAGGAACACCGGUGGCGAAGGCGGUUCUCUGGGGCCACUACUGACGCUGAGAAGCGAAAGCAUGGGGGAGCGAACAGGG
rnacentral:rRNA from 1 species